ACUUGGUUGAUCCUGCCAAUACCAUAGGCUCGUCUCGAAGACUAAGCCAUGCACGUGUCAGUGCACGACCAGCUUGCUGGUACAAGGAAACUGCGGAUGGCUCCUUAUAACAGUGAGUACCGGCCUGCUUAGACAAUCUACACGGAUAACCUAGCCAACUGCUAGGCUAAUACGUGACGUCGAUACCGUUUGGCUUGCCAGACGGUAGCGCAAGGCCAGCAUGAAUGCGGCCUUGCAUGGCCAAGCUUCGGCUUGGCCGGCAGACCUACAGAGGUUAAAGUACCUGUCUCGGACAGGUACUACUCUAGGCUGAGCAGACAGCUUUCUGACCCAUUAGCUGGUUGUGAAGGUAGCGGCUUCACAAGGCAGCCAUGGGUACGGGGAAUCAGCGUUCGAUUCCGGAGAGAAAGCCUGAGACACGGCUAUCACAUCUAAGGAAGGCAGCAGGCGCGCAAAUUACCCAAUGCAGACUCUGCGAGGUAGUGAACAGCCAUAGUGACCUGCCCAUGAUUGUGGGCAGGGAGGCCUUCGGGCCUAGCCAUGAUUGACGUCUAAACACCGUCAAGAUCAACUAGUAGAGGACCAGUCUGGUGCCAGCACCCGCGGUAACUCCAGCUCUGCUAGCCUAUGAUAAUACUGUUGUCUUUAAAACGUUCGUAGCCCGCCUAGGAUAGGUCGGGUGUCGGCUGUGUGAGACACCUGCUUGUCUGUCCAGCUCAGCUGGUACAGAUGGACAGGCUGUUGAGCACCUCGGCAGGUAGCUUGCUUCGGCAGGUGACUGUAGCCUACAUCUGGCCUGUCGCGGCGAUAUCGCUAGUAAAUGGAAAUGCUUAAAGUAGGCGAUGCUGGCUUCGGCCAGCCAGCCUGUACUUCAUAGAGUGACACAUCAAUACAGCCAGCUGCUUUUGCAGCUGGCGUGAGCAAUGGGGAGGUCUCAAGCAAGGAGUACUGGCUGGAUAGGGGGGAAAUCCAGUGACCCAGCCAUG
rnacentral:rRNA from 1 species